ensembl:lncRNA
CUAAAUUAGAGAUGGUGCUGGACCAACAAACCACUGAGAUUGCUUCAACUACAGGAGGUCCAGGUGCAGCCUUUGGAUAUUGAUGAAGAUUUACUGCCCUGCAAGACCUUCCUCAACUGCAUAGUCUGGAGCGAAGGAUGCAACAGAGCCCAGAUUACAAGCAAAAUCUGUUCAUAGAAACCUCUUUACGGCUAAUGCUGCAGAGAUGGAGGCCGAGGGGACCAUGAAGAGGUGGCUCCAGCUGGCAUCAGAUCAAGAGUGUGGGUGCAAGAGAAGUCUUUUGCAAAAGGAAGCUGGGUGGGUACACAGUUGCGGUCGGAAGUUUACAUACCCCUUGCUGAAUCUACAAAAUAUUAAUGCUCUUAACAAAAUAAGAUUGAUCCUGUGCAAUCGUUGGGAACUCCAUUGUGCGAAACGUCCGCGUCGCUUCAACAAGGGGUAAGGUGCACACACAGUUUUUCUUUUGCUUGUGUCCUUGAUGUCGCUGAGCAGCUACCAGGAAUCCUGAAGAAGGACGAGUGCAUUGGAGCAGUCGUGCUGCACGUGGGGGCAAACAUCAGGCUGAGGCAGACGGAGGUUCUGAAGAGGAACUUCGCCAGCCUGAUCGAGACGGUACGAGGCAGAUCACUAACCGCGAAGAUCAUCGUCUCUGGACCUCUUCCCUCAUACAGAUGUGGAGCUGAAAAGUUCAGUAGACUUCUAGCACUAAAUGAUUGGUUAGUUUCUUGGUGUAAUUAACAGGAAUCUGCUGUUUGUUAAUAACUGGAAUCUGUUCUGGGAGCGUCCUAGGUUGUUUCAUCCUGAUGGCCUGCACUCCAGCAGCUUCGGAGCGGAACUGCUGUCAGACAACAUCUCCAAGACACUACAAACCAAGUGACUGCCUACCGUCAAAUUAUUCGUAAACAUGGAAUGAAUUUCCACUGUUAUGCUGAUGAUACAGAGCUGCAUGUUUGCAACUGAACAAGAACAACAAUAAACAACAACUGAAGAAUAGCGAAAAACUUCAACUGUUUUCGUGCUUACUUGAAGACGAUGAGGCAGAGCAGCAUCGGAGAGACAGUUCGCUCCAUUCUCCAAAGAAUCGGGGAGAACAGUCUGUGGUGUAUGUUUUUGUUGAAAGUGUCAAAAGGUGGGAAGCUGGCUUUGACUGAUCAGGAUGAAGUGUGUCGCCUUGUACACUAUAUUGCCGAACAAGCACAUGGACGUGAAUAUACUGUUGCCGGUUGCAGAGAGGCCAUCAGCAGCUACCUAAAAAAUGCCCCAGGCAGGAAAAGUGGCAAGAAACAUAUUAUGAGUGUUUAUGAUGAAGCAGAGCUACAUGGGAUCUCUAGUGCGUCCUGCAAGAAUUGGGCCUUAGUCCAGUUCAGAUUCAAUUUUGUAAUCUCAUUCCUCUCCCUCGCGUGACAGCCUCCAAACAGUACAAUUCUAAUGAGCUUGAAUAUACGGGGAAUUCCAUUGGGUUUGAUGUCUGACUAAUUAAAGACCCACCUCUUCUAUGAACACCUAACCAACUCAUAAUAAAAAAUUUUUAAAAAAAAUGCACUUACACCUCUAGUCUGCACUUUGCUUCUUCUAGAAUUCAAUGAAUAGAUCUUGUAUGGUAGCUGCUCUUGUAUUGUUCUCUGCUUGAUAUAUCGCUUUGCUUGUAUCUUUCUUAUUUGUAAGUCGCUUUGGAUAAAAGCGUCUGCUAAGUGAAUAAAUGUAAUGCAAAUGUAGUAAAUUGUUUUCUUUGAUUAGCAAUACAUAGGUACUAUAUCUGGCUGUUUUCUGUGUUACAAUAUUGAAUGUCAUUUUUCAGCUAUUCACUUUGUCUGCAUUUACUAAAAUUCAUGCAUGUUUAUUAAAAAUAUUCACGGAGUUUGUUAAACUAUAUAA